rnacentral:rRNA from 1 species
UACGGAGGGAGCAAGCGUUACUCGGAAUUAUUGGGCGUAAAGGGCGCGUAGGCGAUUUGAAAAGUCUUGUGUGAAAGCCCCGAGCUUAACUCGGGAAGUGCACAAGAAACUGUUGAAUUUGAGUUCCGGAGAGGAAGGCAGAAUUCCCGGUGUAGCGGUGAAAUGCGUAGAGAUCAUGAGGAAGACCAGUGGCGAAGGCGGGUCUCUGGACAGUUCCUGACACUGAGGCACGAAGGCCAGGGGAGCAAACGGG